UGUGUGCGCUGUUUUGGUCAC
ensembl:piRNA 21ur-4189 ncRNA